rnacentral:rRNA from 1 species
UUUUUUUUGAGAGUUUGAUCCUGGCUCAGGAUGAACGCUGGCGGUAUGCCUUAAGCAUGCAAGUCGAACGAUCUUGUCCUUUGGACAAGAAUUUUCAAAUUAUCCAAUAAUCCAAUAAAUACCAAUUAUCCAAUAAGAGCAAAAUUCUUAUUUGAUUAUUUGAGAAUUGGAUUAUUUGUUGAUUGGAAAUUCUCGCCCAGAGGGCGAGGUAGUGGCAGACGGGUGAGUAAUAGUAAGGAACGUACCCCAAGGUCAAGUAUAGCCUUCCGAAAGGAGGGGUAAUACUGGAUAGUUCCCGAUUUAAUCGGGUAAAGCACGUAACUGUGCGCCAUGGGAGCGGCCUUAUUCCUAUCAGCUUGUUGGUAGGGUAAAAGCCUACCAAGGCGAUGACGGGUAGGGGGCGUGAGAGCGUGACCCCCCACAAUGGCACUGAGACACGGGCCAUACACCUACGGGUGGCAGCAACUGGGAAUAGUUGUCAAUGGACGAAAGUCUGAACACGCGAUACCGCGUGAGGGAUGAAGUAUCUCGGUAUGUAAACCUCUUUUGCCAGAUCAUCGAGAUUUGGCGAAUAAGCACCUACAAACUACGUGCCAGCAGUCGCGGUAAUACGUAGGGUGCAAGCGUUAUCCGGAUUUACUGGGCGUAAAGUGUCGCGUAGGCGACUUCUUGUGUCACAUCUUAAAGAGUAAGGCUUAACCUUGCCGUUGGAUGUGAGACUAAGAAGAUUUGAAGAAGAGAGGAGUACCUGGAACUGACGGUGGAGUAGUGAAAUGCGUUGAUAUCGUCAGGAACACCAAAAGCGAAGGCAAGGUACCGGCUCUUUCUUGACGCUGAGGCACGAAAGCUAGGGGAGCGAAGCAGAUUAGAGACCUGCGUAGUCCUAGCCCUAAACGCAUGGAUGCUAGAUACCCCGUCGCAAAACCUAUGGGUUUUGCGACGAAAUCAAAAAUCAAAAUGUCCUGCAGAGCAGGAUCUGGCUUUGCCAGACAAAAUUCAAAAAUAUACAAGGUAUCCCUUCGGGACUAUUUAUAAAUUUGUCCUUGUUAAAUUUUGAUCUUUGACUUUUGAAUUUUAGAUUUCGCAAAAACGUAGUUUUUGCGAUGGGGUGUCGCAAGCUAACGCGUUAAGCAUCCCGCCUGGGGAGUACGAACGCAAGUUUAAAACUCAAAGGAAUUGACGGGGACCCGCACAACCAGUGGAGCAUGUGGUUCAAUUCGAGACGAAGCGAAAGACCUCACCAGGGUUCGACAUGUAACUGCAUGUCUAAGAAAUUAGGCAGCCUUCGAGGGUGUUACAAAGCUGCUGCAUGGCUGUCGUCAGCUCNNNNNNNNNNNNUCUUUUUGAACUCACGAGUUCAAAAAGAGUUGCUUAGUUAUUAGUUAAUUAGUUACUUAGUAAUUUUCUAAGUAACUAAGCAUCUAAUCAACUAUGUAACUCAAAUUCGUAGAGUUUGAAAAGAAGCGGGAGGAAGGAGGGGACGACGUCAAGUCAGCACGGCGCUUAUGCCCUGGGCAACACACAUCCUACAAUGGCGAAAAACAACGAGAUGCAAGCUCGCGAGUGCAAGCCAAUCUCUGAAAUUUCGCCUCAGUUCAGAUUGCAGUCUGCAACUCGACUGCAUGAAGCCGGAAUUGGUAGUAAUCGCAGAUCAGCAUGGCUGCGGUGAAUACGUUCUCGGGUCUUGUACACACCGCCCGUCAAGUCAACAAAGUUGGAAGUAGCUGAA